AUCAGUUACAGUUGCCUUGGUUUUGUUUGUUUUGUUUUGUAAGUCGUAAAAGUUGAAACCUCGGUAACUUUAGACCCAGCCUGGCUUCUCCCUCCCUCUGUUCCUCUUCAGAAAAGAAGAAUAGUCCUCCCAGGGAUAUCGACAUGACAAGCUACAAUAAGACUAGUCAAAAGCUUCCUGCAAAAGUCUUCUCAGGAAAUC
rnacentral:sRNA from 1 species